rnacentral:rRNA from 1 species
GACGAACGCUUGCGGCGUGCUUAACACAUGCAAGUCGAACGGUAAGGCCCUUCGGGGUACACGAGUGGCGAACGGGUGAGUAACACGUGGGUGAUCUGCCCUGCACUUCGGGAUAAGCCUGGGAAACUGGGUCUAAUACCGGAUAGGACCACUGCCUGCAUGGGUGGUGGUGGAAAGCUUUUGCGGUGUGGGAUGGGGCCGCGGCCUAUCAGCUUGUUGGUGGGGUGAUGGCCUACCAAGGCGACGACGGGUAGCCGGCCUGAGAGGGUGACCGGCCACACUGGGACUGAGAUACGGCCGAGACUCCUAGGGGAGGCAGCAGUGGGGAAUAUUGCACAAUGGGCGCAAGCCUGGUGCAGCGACGCCGCGUAAGGAAUGACGGCCUUCGGGUUGUAAACCUCUUUCAGCACCGACGAAGCGCAAGUGACGGUAGGUGCAGAAGAAGGACCGGCCAACUACGUGCCAGCAGCCGCCGUAA